UACGUAGGGGGCUAGCGUUGUCCGGAUUUAUUGGGCGUAAAGAGCGUGUAGGCGGCCAUGUAGGUCCGGUGUGAAAACUCGAGGCUUAACCUCGAGCUGUCGGCGGAAACCAUCUGGCUAGAGUCCGGAAGAGGAGAAUGGAAUUCCCGGUGUAGCGGUGAAAUGCGCAGAUAUCGGGAAGAACACCCGUGGCGAAGGCGGUUCUCUGGGACGGUACUGACGCUGAGACGCGAAAGCGUGGGGAGCGAACAGG
rnacentral:rRNA from 1 species